GAGAGGGGGGCUCGCCAUGUCAAGAUGAAAAAUAGGCUCAAGUACCUUGCGGAUCAGAAGGCUGAAGGGAUUAACCCAUACCUGCACAAGUUCUCUGUGACCAUGUCAAUUAGUCAAUACAUUAACAAAUAUGAAUCAUUGGGAUGCUGUUUUUGUAGUCAAUACAUUGACAAAAAAUAUGCUUGGUUUGUAGUCUAAUUAUUUACAUCUUUUAGGCCGUCAGUGUGGCUGUUUUUACAGAAGGGGCCAAAGCAGAAGAAGCUAGAAAUGCUAGAGCUAAUAUAGUUGGUUGCAAAAAACUUAUUGAGGAGAUUGCUAGUGGUAAUAAUAAACUUAAAGUUGACAAGUGCUUCUCAACUCCUGAAAUGGCACCUCAUCUUGGAAAGGUAUUGUUGUUUGGAGUAAUGGCUAUAGAGAUUAAAAGAAAGGCUCCUCA